UGCUCGCUUUGGAGCACUUCACUAACAUUGGGACAAUACAGAGAAGAUUAUCAUGGCCCUGGGGAAGGAUGACAUGCAAAUUCGUG
rnacentral:snRNA from 1 species